GACGUAGGUGGCGAACGUUAUCCGGAAUUAUUGGGCGUAAAGGGCGCGUAGGCGGCUUGGCAAGUGGAAGGUGAAAUCCCUCGGCUUAACCGAGGAACUGCCCUCCAAACUGCUUUGCUUGAGGCCGGGAGAGGUGAGUGGAAUUCCCAGUGUAGCGGUGAAAUGCGUAGAUAUUGGGAGGAACACCAGUGGCGAAGGCGGCUCACUGGACCGGUUCUGACGCUGAUGCGCGAAAGCGUGGGGAGCAAACGGG
rnacentral:rRNA from 1 species